rnacentral:rRNA from 1 species
AUGGAUCACAGCCUUGGGAUCAUUUUCUAGAACGUGCGAGGCCUCAACUCCGGGGCCAAGCGCUCGGCUGUUCGGAGUGUAAUUUCCUCUGUGGAUGCUUGUAUUGUUUGUCUCCAAGAAACGAAGCUCGCUUUGUUCUCGUCGUCUCUUGUGUAUGAAACCUUGAGCGUUGACUUCUCGGGCUUCUUCCAUCUACCCGCGGAUGGCACCCGUGGGAGCAUCCUCUUAGCAUGGAAGCCCACGGUGAUCACCCUUUCCCGCCCAAGCAUCGGGCUGCACCACAUCUUCGCGCUCGUCUCUCCUCUGGUCGGGGUCACGCGCUGGUGGAUUUCUGAGGUCUAUGGUCCUCAGGGCGACUCCAAGAAGUUGGAAUUCCUCGUGGAGCUGCAGGACUUCCGUGCGACCUGUGUAGGGCCCUGGCUAGUCGAAGGCGACUUCAACAUGAUUCUCUCAGCCACGGACAAGAAUAAUAACAGACUCCACCACCAGUCUAUGUCCCGAUUUCGUCGCUUCGUUGCAGACUUCGAGCUGCAUGAUAUCUAUCUGCACGGGCGACGAUAUACUUGGCCAAACGAGCAGGCCUGUCCUACCCUAGUUUGCAAUGACCGUGCGUUGUACACACCGGCUUCGGAGACGACCCAACCCCACUGCCUAUUGCGCUGCCUCGCCUCGGCAGCCUCUGACCAUGCCCCGCUGCUGAUCGACUGUGUCCCGUGUUCUAGAGCCAUCAAGCGUUUCCACUUCGAGCGAUUUUGGCCUAAGAUGGACGGUUACCUCGAUGUGGUGUCCUAG